UCCCCUACACAAAGGCUGAGAGGCCCCUGCCACACUGUGAGGCAGUAAAAGGGUUAAUGGGCUCAGGGGCCUCCCUCAGGUCCCAACUCCCUCAGCCAGCUCUGGCCUGACCAAGAGCACCAGACUGAGUGAGGGCUUGGCUCAUGUAACACCCGAGGAAGCUGCUCUCCGGAGAACCACCAGAUCUAAAUGCAAAGUGCAAGGCAACAUGCAGAGUUGGCCAAUACUGGAGCCCAGAAGAAACCCCACCAUUAGAGAAAGGCACUGGGAAGAGAAAGGAGGGAGGAGUGUAGGACUGGAAAUACCUGUCUGCACUGGCGAGCUCCCAAAUCUUGCCCAGGCGCCUCCCACCGUGUGCAGCUGAGGAAGGCUGUGCUCUGAGCGUGGGGUUGCCAAGUCAGCUCCCAAGGCAGCUCUGGCACCAACGACCCAGAGAAACAGGCCCAGAGGGGAGAAACGACGGAUAUCCUGACACGGGAGAUUGAAAGGGAGGAAUGAAAUAAAAGAUCACUUACUGGACCCAUGCAGGGUGCCAGACCCUGGA